AUUGUCUUACAGGUGGGCCAGCAUGUACAACCUAACACUGAGUUUUCAAGGAACAAGUUUCUGUUGCUGCUGCUCUAGCACUCAUGCACUGUGGAGCCAGGAAACUUCUCCAGACAAGGAGCACAAUGCCAGGCCUUGUCGAGGGCCGCUGCAGUGGAGAGGCCAGACCGGGGGUGCCAGAGCCAACCGCAGACCAAGGAAGUGAACCCUGCACAUCCGGAUACUCGAAAUGUCAGCUUGUGGAGGAUCUCCCGCAGGAAUCUGACUUUAUACACAAAGACAUUGAGCUUUCUGCUGAGGUGAGCUGAGAAUGGAUGAACUUAGUCUUCUCUGCAGUGAUGCAAGCCUCUGUCAUGUGGAAGUUACAGAUGAUGCUAGUGAAAUGUGGAUGGUCUCCUGGCCCACCGCAUCAUGCAAGAGGGCUGCUU
rnacentral:antisense_RNA from 1 species